rnacentral:rRNA from 1 species
UACAGAGGUCCCAAGCGUUGUUCGGAUUUACUGGGCGUAAAGGGUGCGUAGGUGGUCGGGUAAGUCUCAUGUGAAAUCCCGCAGCUUAACUGCGGAACGGCAUGGGAUACUAUUCGGCUCGAGGAUUGGAGGGGGGACUGGAAUUCCCGGUGUAGCAGUGAAAUGCGUAGAUAUCGGGAGGAACACCAGUGGCGAAGGCGAGUCCCUGGACAAUUCCUGACGCUGAGGCACGAAGGCCAGGGGAGCAAACGGG